CAGCAAACUUUUACUGGCCAUGGUGGUUGAGCGCAUUACUUACUGUUUUGUUUGCAACAGCUGUACCUGCUAAUUCCAGGUCUUUCUGAAGUGGUCCUUAGCUCUUUGACAGCUCUUCUGAUAAUU